rnacentral:rRNA from 1 species
CUACACAUGCAAGUCGAACGCGUUGGCCCAAUUGAUUGAUGGUGCUUGCACCUGAUUGAUUUUGGUCGCCAACGAGUGGCGGACGGGUGAGUAACACGUAGGUAACCUGCCCAGAAGCGGGGGACAACAUUUGGAAACAGAUGCUAAUACCGCAUAACAACGUUGUUCGCAUGAACAACGCUUAAAAGAUGGCUUCUCGCUAUCACUUCUGGAUGGACCUGCGGUGCAUUAGCUUGUUGGUGGGGUAAUGGCCUACCAAGGCGAUGAUGCAUAGCCGAGUUGAGAGACUGAUCGGCCACAAUGGGACUGAGACACGGCCCAUACUCCUACGGGAGGCAGCAGUAGGGAAUCUUCCACAAUGGGCGCAAGCCUGAUGGAGCAACACCGCGUGAGUGAAGAAGGGUUUCGGCUCGUAAAGCUCUGUUGUUAAAGAAGAACACGUAUGAGAGUAACUGUUCAUACGUUGACGGUAUUUAACCAGAAAGUCACGGCUAACUACGUGCCAGCAGCCGCGGUAAUACGUAGGUGGCAAGCGUUAUCCGGAUUUAUUGGGCGUAAAGAGAGUGCAGGCGGUUUUCUAAGUCUGAUGUGAAAGCCUUCGGCUUAACCGGAGAAGUGCAUCGGAAACUGGAUAACUUGAGUGCAGAAGAGGGUAGUGGAACUCCAUGUGUAGCGGUGGAAUGCGUAGAUAUAUGGAAGAACACCAGUGGCGAAGGCGGCUACCUGGUCUGCAACUGACGCUGAGACUCGAAAGCAUGGGUAGCGAACAGGAUUAGAUACCCUGGUAGUCCAUGCCGUAAACGAUGAGUGCUAGGUGUUGGAGGGUUUCCGCCCUUCAGUGCCGGAGCUAACGCAUUAAGCACUCCGCCUGGGGAGUACGACCGCAAGGUUGAAACUCAAAGGAAUUGACGGGGGCCCGCACAAGCGGUGGAGCAUGUGGUUUAAUUCGAAGCUACGCGAAGAACCUUACCAGGUCUUGACAUCUUGCGCCAACCCUAGAGAUAGGGCGUUUCCUUCGGGAACGCAAUGACAGGUGGU